CACAUCUACAGCAAAAGAAAAUAAAUACAAGAUUAUGGCAAGUCUAUUUCAACGAUACCUAAGAAAACCAUACACUUAACUCAGUGAUUCAUAUUUUGAGAGUACACACAGCUCUCAAAACUGACUGAAAAACUGAUGAUACACACAUUAAAAUAUUGAAUAAAUGUGUGGCUUGGCCCAAAAGGUUUGGACGAAGCCCCAAAUUUAAAUCCCAGCUCCAUAAUAGCCAAUAUUAUUUAAUAAGCUAGCCAUUUAAUUUCCUUGUGAAUGUUUCUUGGUCAGCCAAAUUGAAAAAUUAAUAAUAUUUCUUCUAUCUCUCAAUCUCAUAGAUGUAUUAUUAAGAUUUCACUGAAGACGGGAAAACCUAAAAGUGUGACUGCAGGUUUAAGAAAAUGAAAUACUAUUCUGCAUGUAAAUGCAGAAAUUUUCACCUGUCUUUGAUGAGUUUUGGUUCGCCGAUGAAGAUGAAGGAAUCUGUCACAGUCAGUACAUAAGUUUCCACAUACGUUGCACAAAAUGAUUGCUGCAGUUUCACCGUCAUCAUGGUUAUCACACAUAGGCUAGAACAGGACAUUUCCAUACGUUACAAAAGGUUAACAAGAAAGUCUUAAAUACUCAUACAAAUUGAAUGUGAUUUAUUUACAGCAGGAACAGACUGUUACUCUCAACUCAAAUAAGAAUUUAAAAUCUGGACAUUAAACAGAAUUAUGGCAAGUGUACUUAACUAUAAAAGCCCUCGGGCUUCCCUGGUGGUGGCGCAGUGGUUAAGAGCCCGCCUGCCAAUGCAGUGGACACGGGUUCGAGCCCUGGUCCGGGGAGAUCCCGCAUGCCGCAGAGCAACUAAGCCCGUGUGCCACACAACUACUGAAGCCCGCACACCUAGAGCCCGUGCUCCGCAACAAGAGAAGCCACUGCAGUGAGAAGCCUGCGCACCGCAACGAAGACCCAACGCAGCCAAAAAUAAAUAAAAUAAAAUAAAUU